UGGUCAAGUUAUUAAGGGUGCAGGGCGGAUGCCUUGGCACUAGGAGCCGAUGAAGGACGUGAUAAGCUGCGAUAAGCUUCGGGGAGUUGCACGUAAACUUUGAUCCGAAGAUUUCCGAAUGAGGAAACUCACUUAGAGUAAUGUCUAAGUAUCAUUAAGUGAAUACAUAGCUUAAUGAGGGGAACUCAGGGAACUGAAACAUCUAAGUACCUGAAGGAAGAGAAAGAAAUUCGAUUCCGUAAGUAGCGGCGAGCGAACGCGGAUUAGCCCAAACCAAUGAAGUUUUCUUUAUUGGGGUUGCGGACAUAUCAUAACGAAGAGGUAUCGUAAUUGAAGAGGUUUGGAAAGACCCACCACAGAAGGUAAUAGUCCUGUAUGUUAAACGAGAAGACUUUAGAUAUGAUCCAGAGUACCACGGGACACGUGAAACCCUGUGGGAAGCAGGAGGGACCACCCUCCAAGGCUAAAUACUACCUAGUGACCGAUAGCGUAUAGUACCGUGAGGGAAAGGUGAAAAGAACCCCGGGAGGGGAGUGAAAUAGAACCUGAAACCCUGCACUUACAAGCUGUGGAAGCACAUUUCUUGUGUGACCGCGUACUUUUUGUAGAACGGGCCAACGAGUUACGUUAAGUAGCAAGGUUAAGCACUUAAGGUGCGGAGCCGUAGCGAAAGCGAGUUUUAACUGAGCGUUCAGUUACUUGACGUAGACCCGAAACCGGGCGACCUACCCAUGAGCAGGAUGAAGCGAAAGUAAAAUUUCGUGGAGGUCCGAACCCACGAGCGUUGAAAAGCUCGGGGAUGACUUGUGGGUAGCGGUGAAAUUCCAAUCGAGCCCGGAGAUAGCUGGUUCUCCCCGAAAUAGCUUUAGGGCUAGCCUCAAGGUGAGAGAUACGGAGGUAGAGCACUGAAUGUCCUAGGGGGUAUUGCACCUACCGAAGACUAUCAAACUCCGAAUGCCGUCAUCUUAUACUUGGGAGUCAGACUGUGGGUGAUAAGAUUCAUAGUCGAAAGGGCAACAGCCCAGAUCGUCAGCUAAGGUCCCUAAAUGUAAGUUAAGUGGUAAAGGAUGUGGGAUUGCACAGACAACCAGGAUGUUGGCUUAGAAGCAGCCACUCAUUCAAAGAGUGCGUAAUAGCUCACUGGUCGAGUGAUCCUGCGCCGAAGAUUUCCGGGGCUAAAACUUACUACCGAAGCUACGGCAUCAGUAAUGAUGGGUAGGGGAGCUUCCCAUACGGGUUGAAGCAUGACCGUAAGGACAUGUGGACAGUAUGGGAGUGAGAAUGUUGGCAUGAGUAGCGAGAUGUGGGUGAGAAUCCCACAGGCCGUAAACCCAAGGUUUCCAGGGGAAGGUUCGUCCGCCCUGGGUUAGUCGGGACCUAAGCUGAGGCCGAAAGGCGUAGGUGAUGGACAACAGGUUGAUAUUCCUGUACUACCGAUAACCGUUUGAGAGAAGGGAUGACACAGUAGGAUAAGCUAAGCACACUGUUGGUUAUGUGUGCCCAAGCAUUGAGGCAGUCAAAGUAGGCAAAUCCGCUUUGAUAAUGCUGGGAUGUGAUGGGGAGCGAAAUUUAGUAGCGAAGUAGCUGAUUUCACACUGUCAAGAAAAGUCUCUAUCGAGGUUAAAGGUACCCGUACCGCAAACCGACACAGGUGGGUGAGGAGAGUAUCCUAAGGCCAGCGAGAGAACUGUUGUUAAGGAACUCGGCAAAAUGACCCCGUAACUUAGGGAUAAGGGGUGCCACCAUCAGGUGGCCGCAGAGAAUAGGCCCAAGCGACUGUUUACCAAAAACAUAGGUUUCUGCUAAGUCGCAAGACGAUGUAUAGGAGCUGACGCCUGCCCGGUGCUGGAAGGUUAAGGGGAUCUGUUAGAGCAAUCGAAGCAGUGAACUUAAGCCCCAGUAAACGGCGGCCGUAACUAUAACGGUCCUAAGGUAGCGAAAUUCCUUGUCGGGUAAGUUCCGACCCGCACGAAAGGCGUAACGAUUUGGGCACUGUCUCAACAACAGACUCGGUGAAAUUGUAAUUCCGGUGAAGAUGCCGGAUACCUGCGACAGGACGGAAAGACCCCAUGGAGCUUUACUGUAGCUUGACAUUGGGUCUUGGUACUACAUGUACAGGAUAGGUGGGAGGCUUUGAAACCAGGACGCCAGUUUUGGCGGAGCCAUCCUUGGGAUACCACCCUUGUAGUACUGGGACUCUAACCAUAGGCCAUGAAUCUGGUCUUGGGACACUGUCAGGUGGGCAGUUUGACUGGGGCGGUCGCCUCCCAAAAGGUAACGGAGGCGCUCAAAGGUUCUCUCAGUACGGUCGGAAAUCGUACGUAGAGUGUAAAGGCAAAAGAGAGCUUGAUUGCAAGACAUACAGGUCGAGCAAGGAUGAAAAUCGGACUUAGUGAUCCGGUGGUUCUGCGUGGAAGGGCCAUCGCUCAACGGAUAAAAGCUACCCUGGGGAUAACAGGCUUAUCUCCCCCAAGAGUCCACAUCGACGGGGAGGUUUGGCACCUCGAUGUCGGCUCAUCACAUCCUGGGGCUGUAGUAGGUCCCAAGGGUUGGGCUGUUCGCCCAUUAAAGUGGUACGCGAGCUGGGUUCAGAACGUCGUGAGACAGUUCGGUCCCUAUCCGUCGCAGGCGUAGGAAAUUUGAGAAGACCUGUCCUUAGUACGAGAGGACCGGGAUGGACGUACCUCUGGUGUACCAGUUGUCCUGCCAAGGGCAUGGCUGGGUAGCUAUGUACGGAAUGGAUAAGCGCUGAAAGCAUCUAAGCGCGAAGCCAACUUCAAGAUAAGAUUUCCCACCGCAAGGGUAAGACCCCAGAAAGACUAUCUGGUUGAUAGGUCGAAGGUGUAAGUGCAGCAAUGUAUUUAGCUUAUCGAUACUAAUAGGUCGAGGACUUGACCAAU
rnacentral:rRNA from 1 species